GACGAACGCUGGCGGCGUGCUUAACACAUGCAAGUCGAACGGCAAGGCCCUGCUUUUGUGGGGUGCUCGAGUGGCGAACGGGUGAGUAACACGUGAGUAACCUGCCCUUGACUUUGGGAUAACUUCAGGAAACUGGGGCUAAUACCGGAUAGGAGCUCCUGCUGCAUGGUGGGGGUUGGAAAGUUUCGGCGGUUGGGGAUGGACUCGCGGCUUAUCAGCUUGUUGGUGGGGUAGUGGCUUACCAAGGCUUUGACGGGUAGCCGGCCUGGGAGGGUGACCGGCCACAUUGGGACUGAGAUACGGCCCAGACUCCUACGGGAGGCAGCAGGGGGGAAUAUUGCACAACGGGCGGAAGCGUGAUGCAGCAACGCCGCGUGCGGGAUGACGGCCUUCGGGUUGUAAACCGCUUUCGCCUGUGACGAAGCGUGAGUGACGGUAAUGGGUAAAGAAGCACCGGCUAACUACGUG
rnacentral:rRNA from 1 species